rnacentral:rRNA from 1 species
GACAGAGGUUCGGCCAAUGAAGAGGAAUGUUUAGUGGCGGACUGGUGAGUAACGCGUGAGGAACCUGCCUUUCAGAGGGGGACAACAGUUGGAAACGACUGCUAAUACCGCAUGAAGCAGCGAGGGGACACUCCCCUUGCUGUACAAAGAUUUUAUCGCUAGAAAGAUGGCCUCGCGUCUGAUUAGCUAGUUGGUGGGGUAACGGCCCACCAAGGCGACGAUCAGUAGCCGGACUGAGAGGUUGACCGGCCACAUUGGGACUGAGAUACGGCCCAGACUCCUACGGGAGGCAGCAGUGGGGAAUAUUGGGCAAUGGGCGAAAGCCCUGACCCAGCAACGCCGCGUGAAGGAAGAAGGUCUUCGGAUUGUAAACUUCUUUUAUGAGGGACGAAGGAUGUGACGGUACCUCAUGAAUAAGCCACGGCUAACUACGUGCCAGCCGCGGC